rnacentral:rRNA from 1 species
GAUGAACGCUGGCGGCGUGCCUAAUACAUGCAAGUAGAACGCUGAAGGAAGGAGCUUGCUCUUUCCGGAUGAGUUGCGAACGGGUGAGUAACGCGUAGGUAACCUGCCUGGUAGCGGGGGAUAACUAUUGGAAACGAUAGCUAAUACCGCAUAACAGUAGAUGUUGCAUGAUAUCUACUUAAAAGGUGCAAUUGCACCACUACCAGAUGGACCUUCGUUGUAUUAGCUAGUUGGUGAGGUAACGGCUCACCAAGGCGACGAUCCAUAGCCGACCUGAGAGGGGGAUCGGCCACACUGGGACUGCGACACGGCCCAGACUCCUACGGGAGGCAGCAGUAGGGAAUCUUCGGCAAUGGACGGAAGUCUGGCCGAGCAACGCCGCGUGAGUGAAGAAGGUUUUCGGAUCGUAAAGCUCUGUUGUAAGAGAAGAACGAGUGUGAGAGUGGAAAGUUCACACUGUGACGGUAUCUUACCAGAAAGGGACGGCUAACUACGUG